GACGAACCGUGCAAACGUUAUUCGGAAUUACUGGGCGUAAAGGGCUCGUAGGCGGCCAACUAAGUCGGACGUGAAAUCCCUCAGCUUAACUGGGGAACUGCGUCCGAUACUGGAUGGCUUGGAUUUGGGAGAGGGAUGCGGAAUUCCAGGUGUAGCGGUGAAAUGCGUAGAUAUCUGGAGGAAUACCGGUGGCGAAGGCGGCAUCCUGGACCGGCAUUGACGCUGAUGAGCGAAAGCUAGGGGAGCAAACGGG
rnacentral:rRNA from 1 species